rnacentral:tRNA from 1 species
GCCCCCGUAGCUCAGUUGGAUAGAGCGGUCGCCUCCUAAGCGACAGGCCACUGGUUCGAAUCCAGCCGGGGGUGCCA